AUGUCUGAGAACUUGAAAGCUAACGCGCGGAUUUGGUUAUUCCAGUUGAAUGAAUCCCUGGACCAUGCAAGCUUCACGCGGCUGGUAAUUACACUAUGGUCUAUUUGGUUUGCAAGGAGGAAAGCUAUAUAUGAAUCAAUUUUCCAGAGUCCACAACAGACCACAUCCUUUGUAAACAAUUACAUUGAUGAGCUGGGCCAGUUACAUGCUAGGAAGGAGCAUCAAAUAACACAAAGGGUAGCAUCGGCACAGCAGAAAAGGUGGCUUCCGCCUCCGAGCGGCAAGGUAAAGUUUAAUGUGGACGGAGCAGUGGCCAGGUCUCGGCGUGCAGGGGCUGCUGCAGCGAUAUGCCGGGAUCAGGACGGCCAAUAUCUGGGUUCAUCGGCGGUUGUUUUUCAGGGAAUCACUGAUCCGAUGAUGCUCGAGACUUAUGCAUGCAGGGAAGCUUUGGCAUUGGCAGAACACCUUGCGACAAUGAACAUAUGUGUGGCCUCGGAUUCUCAAGAAGUGGUCAAUGAUAUUAACAGAGGGACAGGAGGCCCCAACGCUGCUCUUAUACAUGAAAUAAUGCUUCGAUGUACUAGUUUUAAUUCAUACUCUUUUAUUCAUGAACAUAGGAACCACAAUUAUGAGGCUCAUAAUCUCGCCAAGUUUGCUUGUACUCUAGGACUAGGUAGACAUGUUUGGUUGGGCAACCCUCAUGACCCAAACCUUGUACCUAUGUCGCUUGUUUUCGAAUGA
rnacentral:rRNA from 1 species